ACUUGAACCCAAGGCUGGCACAAAAGCCAGAAGGUGUUACUCUCCACCAGCUCAGGGAUUGUGAAGAUCUCUGUGCAGACUCCACUCUGCGGUUGGACAGCAUCCCUGAGACAUGCAUUUUGGAAAUUGUGAUCAACCAGAAUCCAGAACACGCUGUGCUUAAUGGAGUGAACUGCCUGUGAAGCGCAGGUGUGAGGGGCGGAUGAUAAGUGACAGUGCCGGUGCCCCCAGCGCCCUUUUACCUGAUGGCUCACCCGGCCUACAGCUGCGCCCUUCCCUUUGAAUCGUCUUGGGUAACGGGUGCUGCUUUGGAAAUGCCUGGAAGGUCAUGUCCUUUGUCUGGGGAUGGCUUCCAGCUGUGGUUGACUGAUAGCAGGGGGCACAGAAGGCCAGACACAACUUGCCUCAGGUGGGCCGACUCUGAGGGUUUGUUCGGCCUCCACGUGGACUUCAGCUGAGCCUGCAUCUUUGCUUGGCUUUUCCCACUGGCCUAUUCUGCUUCCCUCUCCUUAAGGGUUCUCCCAGGAGAACUCCCUUAAUAAAUCACUUGCACAAGGA
rnacentral:lncRNA from 10 species